UACGUAGGUGGCAAGGGUUGUCCGGAUUUACUGGGCGUAAAGAGCGCGCAGGCGGUCGGAUCAGUCGAAUGUGAAAGCCCCCGGCUCAACUGGGGAGGGUCAUUCGAUACUGUCCGACUCGAAGGCAGGAGAGGGAAGCGGAAUUCCCGGUGUAGUGGUGAAAUGCGUAGAUAUCGGGAGGAACACCAGUGGCGAAGGCGGCUUUCUGGCCUGUUCUUGACGCUGAGGCGCGAAAGCUAGGGGAGCAAACGGG
rnacentral:rRNA from 1 species